rnacentral:rRNA from 1 species
AGGACGAACGCUGGCGGCGUGCUUAACACAUGCAAGUCGAGCGGAAAGGCCCUUCGGGGUACUCGAGCGGCGAACGGGUGAGUAACACGUGAGCAACCUGCCCCUGGCUCUGGGAUAGCCUCCGGAAACGGGGAUUAAUACCGGAUAUUCACUGCUUCCUGCAUGGGGGGUGGUGGAAAGUUUUUCGGCUAGGGCGGGGCUCGCGGCCUAUCAGCUUGGUUGGGGGGGUGACGGCCCACCAAGGCGACGACGGGUAG